rnacentral:tRNA from 1 species
GGGCAGUUAGCUCAGCGGUAGAGCACUGUCCUCACACGACAGGGGUCACAGGUUCGAAUCCUGUACUGCCCACCA